UAGUAUCCAUGGGGAUCCAUAGGGGUGUCCUCGCUACACGCGAACCCUUUUCCUUAACAAUCUUAAUUACAGAGCCGUCCCCAUACCUCGUCCGGUAUGAGCGCCAAGACAUUAAACCUCAAUACCCUGUCCGGUAUGAGGGUGAAGCUGGUCGUCCCCAUACCCUAUCCGGUAUGAGCACCACAUUACCAAGUCUCCAUACCCCGUCCGGUAUGAGAUAACGUUCACGGUAGGGUUCCCUAUGAACCCAGUCCAUCCACCAUCUCUCAGGAUAUCUAGUGAGGCUGUGUCU
rnacentral:lncRNA from 1 species